GACGAACCGAGCGAACGUUAUUCGGAAUCACUGGGCUUAAAGCGCGUGUAGGCGGGGCGGCACGUCGGUCGCUGAAAUCCCCCGGCUCAACCGGGGAAGGGGCGCCGAUACGACCGCCCUGGAGGGACGUAGGGGGGCCUGGAACUUCCGGUGGAGCGGUGAAAUGCGUUGAGAUCGGAAGGAACGCCCGUGGCGAAAGCGAGGCCCUGGACGUCUGCUGACGCUGAGACGCGAAAGCCAGGGGAGAGAACGGG
rnacentral:rRNA from 1 species